rnacentral:tRNA from 1 species
GGCGCUAUGGCCAAGUGGUAAGGCAAAGGUCUGCAAAACCUUUAUCCCCAGUUCAAAUCUGGGUGGCGCCUCCA